rnacentral:rRNA from 1 species
GGCGGAAUGCUUACACAUGCAAGUCGAACGGUAGAGGGGGCAACCCUUGAGAGUGGCGAACGGGUGAGUAAUAUAUCGGAACGUGCCCAGUCGGUGGGGGAUAACGUAGCGAAAGCUACGCUAAUACCGCAUACGAUCUAUGGGAUGAAGCGGGGGAUCGCAAGACCUCGCGCGAUUGGAGCGGCCGAUAUCAGAUUAGGUAGUUGGUGAGGUAAAGGCUCACCAAGCCGACGAUCUGUAGCUGGGUCUGAGAGGACGACCAGCCACACUGGGACUGAGACACGGCCCAGACUCCUACGGGAGGCAGCAGUGGGGAAUUUUGGACAAUGGGCGCAAGCCUGAUCCAGCAAUGCCGCGUGCAGGAUGAAGGCCUUCGGGUUGUAAACUGCUUUUGUACGGAACGAAACGGUGAGCUCUAAUACAGUUUGCUAAUGACGGUACCGUAAGAAUAAGCACCGGCUAACUACGUG